rnacentral:sRNA from 1 species
GAUUCGGUAGGUGAGGCUACCGCAGAGGAUAUGGAUUGCUGCCGCGAAGUUGUGGAGACACAAUCAGAGGGUCAGCAGGUUGCGUCGUUUAAGGCGUGAUCUAAUGCAAUUUCACGCCCUGCGAUGCUAAAGCUUGAACGGUU